rnacentral:rRNA from 1 species
AGUAGCUGCGAGCGAAACGGGAAAAGCCCACACUAAGUCCCCUUGUCGGAAACGACUUGCGGGAGAUGCGGUGUAUAGUACGGCCCACUUCGGCGCGUAGUCACGAUUACUCCAAGUCCUUCUUGAAGGGGGCCGAUUCACCCGUAGAGGGUGCCAGGCCCGUAGGAUCGUUCCUUGCGUCGAAAGGGCUCGUACUCAGAGUCGAGUAGCUUGAGAGUGCUGCUCUAAUAGGGUGGUAAGAUCCAUCUAAGGCUAAAUAUGACCACGAGACCGAUAGAGAACAAGUACCAUGAGGGAAAGUUGAAAAGAACUUUGAAGAGAGAGUUCAAUAGUACGUGAAACCGUUCAGGAGUAAAUGAGAGAGAGUCGAUUAUUCGAAAGGGGAGUGUCAGCCGGGACACGGCGGCGUACUUACGAUCGCGGCGGGGCAGGCGUUUCCAGAUAGUGUUCGCACUUGGCUAGGGGCUCCCGUCCGGUCGUUUUGUACGGAACCGUUGUGUGUCGGUGCAUUUCUGCCCUCAGUAGAACGUCGCGUCCGUCGGCGUGUCGGUCUGUGGCCCGGGUACGAGUUCGUUCGUUUCGAUUAAUUUCGAAUCGGGCGAAGUCUCGGUGAUCUGGCCGUGCCGUCCGACGGAUAAAGUAGGUCCUAGUGGGGGCUGUGACUCUGAGACUAGCACUCGUUUCGACGAGGCCGUUGGUCUAUACGAGUCUGCUCCUGAGGAUUAUUGCGGCGCUGUUGUUUUGACAAUCUCUCAACCCGUCUUGAAACACGGACCAAGGAGUCUAGCAUGUGGGCGAGUCAUUGGGCAUUUCUAAACCCAAAGGCGGAGCGAAAUCGAAGGCGAACCUUCGGGUAAGCCGUGGGAUGAUGGGCGGCCGACGGUCGCCUCGCAAUCCCGGGGUGCCUCUUUCUCAUUGCGAGAUGAGGCGCCCUCAGAGCCCACACGCUGGUACCCGAAAGAUGAUGAACUAUGCUUGGGGAGGACGAAGCCAGGGGAAACCCUGGUGGAGGUCCGUAGCGAUUCUGACGUGCAAAUCGAUCGUCAAAUCUGAGUAUAGGGGCGAAAGACCAAUCGAAUUAUCUAGUAGCUGGUUCCCUCCGAAGUUUCCCUCAGGAUAGCAGGUGCUAUUACGUGUGUUAGUACGGGAACGCACACGGCCGUAGUCACAUGCGGUAAAGCGAAUGAUUAGAGGUAUUGGGGUCGAAACGGCCUCAACCUAUUCUCAAACUUUCAAUGUGUGCGAUCUCCGGCUUACGUAAGUGAAGCCGGUGAUAGGAUAAAAG